GCGACGGGCCCGGUCACGUGACCGGGGUUGGGAUCCGGGCGCUGAGGCGGCCUGACAGUGGCGGCGGCGGCGGCGGCGCUGCUGCUCCCGCGGCGGGCGAGAGGGGAGGCGGCGAGGGCGGCGGCGGCGGCCCGGCCCAUCUGGAUGAGGGUCUUUCCUCUUCCAGACCACCUAUGAUCCCCCGCGUCAACUUUCUAUUUUAAAAAAAAGAAAUGGAUGACAAGGCCUCAGUGGGCAAAAUCAGCGUGUCUUCCGAUUCGGUCUCGACGCUCAACAGUGAAGAUUUUGUCUUGAUUUCCAGGCAGGACGAUGAAACCCCCUCCGCCCAUAUCGGUAGCGAUGACGAAAAGCCGGGGUUGAAGAUUGUAGGAAAUGGGAGUGAGCAGCAGCUGCAGAAGGAAACUGGAAGACAUCCUAAUGGAUCCCCCCAUGGAGGACCCCUCCAAUGACCGGGAGGGGGAGGAAGGGAGCCCCUCCCAGGACGGAGAAGGAGACGAGCUGGUUCUCCUUGAGGCCUCCGCCUCCUCUACCAUCAACCCCCGUGUCCGUGACGGGGACCCUCCAAGCCAGAAAUGAGGCUCCCGGUGAAGCCAUCCCAGGGA